rnacentral:rRNA from 1 species
UACGUAGGGCGCAAGCGUUGUCCGGAAUUAUUGGGCGUAAAGAGCUCGUAGGCGGCCUGUUGCAUCCGCUGUGAAAUCCCGGGGCUUAACCCCGGGCGUGCAGUGGAUACGGGCAGGCUGGAGGCAGGCAGGGGAGAACGGAAUUCCCGGUGUAGCGGUGAAAUGCGCAGAUAUCGGGAAGAACACCCGUGGCGAAGGCGGCUCUCUGGGACGGUACUGACGCUGAGACGCGAAAGCGUGGGGAGCGAACAGG